rnacentral:rRNA from 1 species
AUUGAACGCUGGCGGCAGGCCUAACACAUGCAAGUCGAACGAGUGGCGGACGGGUGAGUAAUGUCUGGGAAACCUCCUGAUGGAGGGGGAUAACUACUGGACACUGUAGCUAAUACCGCAUACCAUCGGAUGUGCCCAGAUGGUCUUAGCUACUAGGUGGGGUAAAGGCUCACCUAGGCCACGAGCCCUAGCUGGUCUGAGAGGAUGACCACACACACUGGAACUUAGACACGGGCCAGACUCCUACGGUAGGCAGCAGUGGGGAAUAUUGCGCAAUGGGCGCAAGCCUGAUGCAGCCAUGCCGCGUGUAUGAAGAAGGCCUUCGGGUUGUAAAGUACUUUCAGCGGGGAGGCGUUAACCGAAGAAGAAGCACCGGCUAACUCCGUGCCAGCAGCCGCGGUAAUUG